UAUGUUUAAGAAAUUGACUAUGUGAUAUAGUAGAAUAAUACGAUUAUAUUAGCAUUUGGAAUCUUGUUAAGUGAUGAAUAUGUUUAUAGGUGUCGAGCGUACUAAAGCUCUCACUCAAGGUUUAAGCUUAAAGAUGCACCUAUAGAACUAGCAUUGGACUCCAGGUAAAAGAAAGAUUUAUACCUAAAUUUUCAUACUAAGAGUUAAAGCUCGUGUAUGCCUCCGAUUAGUCUCGUCGAGAGGUAUCUCUAUUUAUGUUCCGUAUAGGAAUCCUUUGAUCGAGAAUUUUGUAAUAGAGUAAGUGGUGUCGAAGUCGACUUGUAAUAGAACCUCCUUUUGUAAACACGAUGGUAUAGAUAUUGGGGGUUUAAUGUUUUGAUCAUUGCAAUUUUGAGGAGCAUAUUUGGGGUCAUUGAAUGUACUGCAUGUUGAGUGGUGUUCCGCCACGAGGUGCCUGCUACUCGGGGCGGGGCGCUACAAUUCGUGAUUUCUGACAAUGACUCAUUCCUACGA